rnacentral:rRNA from 1 species
GGAUGAACGCUGGCGGCGUGCUUAACACAUGCAAGUCGAACGAUGAUCUCCAGCUUGCUGGGGGGAUUAGUGGCGAACGGGUGAGUAACACGUGAGUAACCUGCCCUUGACUCUGGGAUAAGCCUGGGAAACUGGGUCUAAUACCGGAUAUGACCAUUCCACGCAUGUGGUGGUGGUGGAAAGCUUUUGCGGUUUUGGAUGGACUCGCGGCCUAUCAGCUUGUUGGUGGGGUAAUGGCCUACCAAGGCGACGACGGGUAGCCGGCCUGAGAGGGUGACCGGCCACACUGGGACUGAGACACGGCCCAGACUCCUACGGGAGGCAGCAGUGGGGAAUAUUGCACAAUGGGCGGAAGCCUGAUGCAGCGACGCCGCGUGAGGGAUGACGGCCUUCGGGUUGUAAACCUCUUUCAGUAGGGAAGAAGCGUAAGUGACGGUACCUGCAGAAGAAGCGCCGGCUAACUACGU